rnacentral:rRNA from 1 species
UACGUAGGGUGCGAGCGUUAAUCGGAAUUACUGGGCGUAAAGCGUGCGCAGGCGGCGCGUUAAGACAGGUGUGAAAGCCCCGGGCUUAACCUGGGAACUGCAUUUGUGACUGCAUCGCUGGAGUGCGGCAGAGGGGGAUGGAAUUCCGCGUGUAGCAGUGAAAUGCGUAGAUAUGCGGAGGAACACCGAUGGCGAAGGCAAUCCCCUGGGCCUGCACUGACGCUCAUGCACGAAAGCGUGGGGAGCAAACAGG